CAGAUACACUGAUGAUAACAUAGUUCAGCAGAGUUUCUUGUGAUGAACAGAGUUUUGUCUUUCGCUCCUAUCUGAUGUAUCUU
ensembl:snoRNA